rnacentral:misc_RNA from 1 species
UCCCCGUUAUCCUGGGCAGUCUCUCCAGAGUGCUCGGCAUGACCCGAUGCAACGCGAAGAACCUUACCUGGCCUUGACAUGCAUGUGGUAGAACCAUGAAAGUGGGACGACCCCGCAAGGGGAGCAUGCACAGGUGCUGCAUGGCUGUCGUCAGCUCGUGUCGUGAGAUGUUGGGUUAAGUCCCGCAACGAGCGCAACCCUUGUGUCCUGUUGCCACUCCCUCGAGAGAGGGAAGCACUCUGGACAGACUGCCUCGCUUAAACGAGGAGGAAGGUGGGGAUGACGUCGGAGGAAUUCCA